GAUGAACGCUGGCGGCGUGCCUAAUACAUGCAAGUCGAGCGAACAGACGAGGAGCUUGCUCCUCUGACGUUAGCGGCGGACGGGUGAGUAACACGUGGAUAACCCACCUAUAAGACUGGGAUAACUUCGGGAAACCGGAGCUAAUACCGGAUAAUAUAUUGAACCGCAUGGUUCAAUAGUGAAAGACGGUUUUGCUGUCACUUAUAGAUGGAUCCGCGCCGCAUUAGCUAGUUGGUAAGGUAACGGCUUACCAAGGCAACGAUGCGUAGCCGACCUGAGAGGGUGAUCGGCCACACUGGAACUGAGACACGGUCCAGACUCCUACGGGAGGCAGCAGUAGGGAAUCUUCCGCAAUGGGCGAAAGCUUGACGGAGCAAUGCCGCGUGAGUGAUGAAGGUCUUCGGAUCGUAAAACUCUGUUAUUAGGGAAGAACAAAUGUGUAAGUAACUAUGCACGUCUUGACGGUACCUAAUCAGAAAGCCACGGCUAACUACGUG
rnacentral:rRNA from 1 species